rnacentral:lncRNA from 1 species
CUUGAUUUCCUCUUUUGCAGAGGGACAGUGAUACUACUUCCUCCAGCUUGUUGGGAGGAUUAAAUGAGAGGAUGCCUGUGGGCCCAGGGAGCGGCUGCUGUGGCUUAUAGACCUGAUGGAGGUCAUCAGGUUUCCUGAGCUCUGCAGUGAGAAUCCCGUCCAUUCAAAUCCCAGCUCUGCCACUUUCUUGCUGUGAGACCUCAGGAAGUGGUUUCACCUCUCUGAGCUCAGUUUUAGGAUCUGUAAAAUGAGGAUGGUAAUUUCUGUCCCGUGAUGUUGAGAGACCCCUUGGCCUUUGCAUAUGCCAUGUGCUUUCUGUCUGGAAUGUUCUUCUCCCCACUUCAUAUGACCUGACUUUCUCCUAUGUGUGCUUCAGCCCUCAGCUCAGAAGCUGCCUCUUCCAAGAAGACUUCCCUGAUCCUCCCAAGGGGAGUGACUUUCA